rnacentral:rRNA from 1 species
CCUACGGGUGGCAGCAGUGGGGAAUAUUGGACAAUGGGCGAAAGCCUGAUCCAGCCAUGCCGCGUGUGUGAAGAAGGCCUUCGGGUUGUAAAGCACUUUCAGUGGGGAAGAAAGCCUUGGGGCUAAUACCCUCGAGGAAGGACAUCACCCACAGAAGAAGCACCGGCUAACUCCGUGCCAGCAGCCGCGGUAAUACGGAGGGUGCGAGCGUUAAUCGGAAUUACUGGGCGUAAAGCGCGCGUAGGCGGUCUGAUAAGCCGGUUGUGAAAGCCCCGGGCUCAACCUGGGAACGGCAUCCGGAACUGUCAGGCUAGAGUGCAGGAGAGGAAGGUAGAAUUCCCGGUGUAGCGGUGAAAUGCGUAGAGAUCGGGAGGAAUACCAGUGGCAAAGGCGGCCUUCUGGACUGACACUGACGCUGAGGUGCGAAAGCGUGGGUAGCAAACAGGAUUAGAUACCCUGGUAGUC